rnacentral:rRNA from 1 species
AGGCCGGGUGUGGAAGCGCUGCAAGGCGUUGAGCUAACCGGUACUAAUGGUCCGUGAGGCUUGACCAUAUAACACCCAAAGGGUUUUG